rnacentral:lncRNA from 1 species
UUGACUUGGACUCAUGGUGAGCGCGCGCCUCUGGACCAUUAGAUGUGCCACGUCAAUUAAUGAAACCACAUCCAACGCUUCCUGAUUUUUCUUAUUUUCUAUUUUCUGAUUUUAUUUUCUUUAAUUCCAUUUUAUUUCAAAAAAUCAUAUCUCUUUUAUUAUUGGUCCAAAAAUUAUGGGACCAAUUGCAUUCUUCUCCAAAUAAAUUCUAGUUUUUGAUUUUGAUUUUUAAUUUUUUUUUUAUUUUAUCAUUUGAUAUUUUUUGUGAAUUUUCU